GGGGGCACUCCUGUGGGGCCCGGCCGCAGGCGAACCCGUAUCAGUAGAGACCUCCAGAAGUCGUUAAGACACCCAGUAUCUGUGACAGAGCCUUUAAAUUAGCUCACGUUAACUUUUAGGGCAGUACACCCUCGUAUUAAAGAAAUAUUGAUGUUACCUCGUCACACCUCUCCUAAAAGUGCCACAGAUUUUGUUUUGUUUUCCAAAUUCACUCUGCAGCCCAAGCUCUGUAGCCUCCAACUCACUGCGAUCCUCUGGCUUCAGUCCCCCUCAUGCCAAGGGAUUGAACCCAGGACCUUGCACAUGCUAAGAGACAAGUCCUACUGUGUGAUACAGGCCAGCCUC